GAUGAACGCUGGCGGCGUGCCUAAUACAUGCAAGUCGAGCGAACGGACGAGACGCUUGCUUCUCUGCUGUUAGCGGCGGACGGGUGAGUAACACGUGGAUACCCUACCUAUAAGACUGGGAUCACUUCGGGAAACCGGAGCUAAUACCGGAUGAUAUUUUGAACCGCAUGGUUCAACAGUGAAAGACGGUCUUGCUGUCCCUUAUAGAUGGAUCCGCGCUGCAUUAGCUAGUUGGUAAGGUAACGGCUUACCAAGGCAACGAUGCAUAGCCGACCUGAGAGGGUGAUCGGCCACACUGGAACUGAGACACGGUCCAGACUCCUACGGGAGGCAGCAGUAGGGAAUAUUCCGCAAUGGGCGAAAGCCUGACGGAGCAACGCCGCGUGAGUGAAGAAGGUCUUCGGAUCGUAAAACUCUGUUAUUAGGGAAGAACAGAUGUGUAAGUAACUGUGCACAUCUUGACGGUACCUAAAGAGAAAGCCACGGCUAACUACGUG
rnacentral:rRNA from 1 species